rnacentral:rRNA from 1 species
CUCCUGGAAAAGGGUGGUAAUGCCGGAUGCUCCAGUUGAUCGCAUGGUCUUCUGGGAAAGCUUUCGCGGUAUGGGAUGGGGUCGCGUCCUAUCAGCUUGACGGCGGGGUAACGGCCCACCGUGGCUUCGACGGGUAGCCGGCCUGAGAGGGCGACCGGCCACAUUGGGACUGAGAUACGGCCCAGACUCCUACGGGAGGCAGCAGUGGGGAAUAUUGCACAAUGGGCGCAAGCCUGAUGCAGCGACGCCGCGUGAGGGAUGGAGGCCUUCGGGUUGUAAACCUCUUUUAUCGGGGAGCAAGCGAGAGUGAGUUUACCCGUUGAAUAAGCACCGGCUAACUACGUGCCAGCAGCCGCGGUAAUACGUAGGGUGCAAGCGUUAUCCGGAAUUAUUGGGCGUAAAGGGCUCGUAGGCGGUUCGUCGCGUCCGGUGUGAAAGUCCAUCGCUUAACGGUGGAUCCGCGCCGGGUACGGGCGGGCUUGAGUGCGGUAGGGGAGACUGGAAUUCCCGGUGUAACGGUGGAAUGUGUAGAUAUCGGG